rnacentral:lncRNA from 1 species
UACAAAGAUUUAGUAAAUCAAUUACACAAAAUGCUGAGAAGGAAUACAGUAGAGAUUUAAGCAGGUUCUUCUGAUUUCUGAAGAAAGUGAAACCUAACCAAAUACUAGGAUAACAAUGUCAUGUGGAUAAUUUGAAGGUUAACAUGCUUUUGUAUUAACAACAACAUUUAUUUUAGGUAUUCAUUAACUUACUAAUCAGUUGGUUUAAGUUCCAGUUCUUCUAUCUGACUCAAAUGUUUAUCAUUUGGAAUAGACUGUUCAGCCAGACAUGUGGCACAUUUGUAAUGCCAGAGAUUUGGGAGUGUAAGGCAGAAGGUUUGCAAGUUAAAGGCCUAUCUGGGAAACUUAGACCCUGACUCAAAAUAAAAAACAAAAAGGACUGGGCAUGCAGCUCAUUGAGUAUCCUGGGUUCAAUCUCUACCAUUAAAAAAAAUAAUAAUACGGGAUUUAAUAUUUUAAUAAUAAUACUUUUCAAAGUCAGCUAUAAUAUCGUUUUUUCCCCCUUAAUAUUACAGUCAGAUAAACUUAUUUAUAACCAGUGAUAUCCUUUCCUUUUGACUCUUUUCUUAUUUAUCCAUACCAUUAGUGUAAUAGGUGAAAUAACAGUCCAGGAGAAAUCACCUGCUAAUUAUAAAUAAUAAAGAAGUAAGUCAGCAGAACCCAAGGAAAUUAAGAAACAAUCAACUAUUGCCCACUGACAUGAAUUCUGAAGGGAUUACUGGAUUAGCUAAUAACUUAAUGGGAUGCAGCCAGUGCAGAAAUCUGUGCUGUCUGGAACUCAAAAUUUAAAGACAAUAGAAAAUGAUUUUCUAUCUACUAUGUUAGAAAAAAACAAUUAAUUGCUUAGUUAUGGAAGGAAAAUGGUUAAAACACAUGAAUUUUAUUUAAAUGUGCAAAUAAAUGUGAAAGAAUUGCUAGGAAAACUUAUGGUCUGGGAAAUAGUGUUAUCUAGAUAUUAAUGGUACUAUAAAGCCUCUUUGGAUAAAGCUGAUUUUGACACACAAAGAAGCAGAUCAAUGAAAUGAAACAAUAGAAAGUAUAAAAGCAGACCCAAUAUUAUCUGAAAAUGUGGUAUACAGUAAAUAUGCCAUUCCAAAUCAUGGGGGAGGGGAAAUAAGUGAUGCUAAGACAAAAGGAUAGCCUCUGGGGAGGAGCAGUACUGGGGACUGAAUCCAGGGGCUCUAUACUAUUGAGCUGCAUGCCCAGCCCUUUUAUUUUUGGGGGAGAUCAAACCUAGGGACGCUUAACCACUGAGCCACAUCCUCGGGCCUUUUUUAUGUUUUAUUUAGAGAUAGGGUCUUGUAUUGCUUAGGGCCUCAUUAGGUUCCGGAGGCUGGCUUUGAACCUGCUCACCUACGGAGCUGCUGGAUUACAGGCUGGAUAGGCUACCAGGUCUGGCCCUUUUAUUUUGAGACAGGUUCUCACUGUUUGGCCUUGAAUUUUUGAUGCUCCUGCCUCAGCUUUCUGAGCUGCUGGAUGUAAUACAGGUGCGCAUCACCAGACCUGGCAAGGAUAGUCAAUUUGAAAGAAACAUUAGAUUCAUACUUAAUAUACUAUAAUUUAAAAUGUGUCAGAGAUUAAUAUUUUCAUUUUUAAUUGUACAGGAAGUAGGAGAAAACAUGAAUGACUUGGGUGUGUAUAGUUACUCAAAAUCCAGUAGCAAUUAUCUACAUGAAAAUUUUAUAGGACAAAAACUCACAGUCAAAAUAAUAAAUUGAUAAAAAUAUUUGCAAAGUACAUCAUGAAUAAAAGCUGAUCUCCUCAACAUAAAUGCAGUAAAAAACAGCCAAGAGAUACGAACGUUUUCAUAAACUAAAGAAAGUUUCUUAAAUAUACAACAAAACUUUCAACCACAGCCAUAAUAAAAGUGAAUCAAAAUUAUAUUGAAGUAGAUACCAUUUAUCACCUAUGAACCUGGCAAAAUUCAAAAGCUUGAUGAGUCUGUUAGCCUGAUUGGGAAAGGCAAGUUCUCUCAUGUAUUGCUGGUACAAUUACAAAAUGGUAUAACACCUAAAAAGGGAUUUUUUUUUCACUGACUAAUAUACAUUUAUCUUUUGAUCUAGCAAUAUAAUUUCCGGGGAUUUACUUUGAAAAUACAUGUCUACAAAUAAGAAAUCACAUAGAAAUAGUUUCUCACAGCAGAAUUAUUUGUAAAAACAAAAUAUUGUUGACAACCUAAAUGCGCAGUUACAUGAGUAAUUGAUUAAAUUAUGUACAUCAAUAUAAUAUGAUCUUAGGCAAAUCAAAAGAAGAGUGAGCAAGAUUAUCUAUGAAUUGGUAUGAAAUUAUUUUUAAGCAAAAUUUUUAUAUUAAAUGACAAAAUAAAGAUGUAUACUAGUGUAUAUAUAAUAUGGAAGAAAUAAAUACAUUGUAUUUGAUUUGUAUCUAUUACAUAUACACAGAAGUACAUACACAUGCAUAUACAUGCAAACAUGUAUACAUGCAAACAUUUGCAUAUAAUGUUUAUUUUUUU